UGGGGAAUAUUGCACAAUGGGCGCAAGCCUGAUGCAGCCAUGCCGCGUGUAUGAAGAAGGCCUUCGGGUUGUAAAGUACUUUCAGCGGGGAGGAAGGGAGUAAAGUUAAUACCUUUGCUCAUUGACGUUACCCGCAGAAGAAGCACCGGCUAACUCCGUGCCAGCAGCCGCGGUAAUACGGAGGGUGCAAGCGUUAAUCGGAAUUACUGGGCGUAAAGCGCACGCAGGCGGUUGUUAAGUCAGAUGUGAAAUCCCCGGGCUCAACCUGGGAACUGCAUCUGAUACUGGCAAGCUUGAGUCUCGUAGAGGGGGGUAGAAUUCCAGGUGUAGCGGUGAAAUGCGUAGAGAUCUGGAGGAAUACCGGUGGCGAAGGCGGCCCCCUGGACGAAGACUGACGCUCAGGUGCGAAAGCGUGGGGAGCAAACA
rnacentral:rRNA from 1 species